CAAGAGGUUACAGUGACCUUUCGAGGAUAAACUGCAUUAAGCAUUAAUCUUUCAUACAAAUAAAGCUGUUUUCUAUCAAUAGAAAGUUCUUUUCUUCCUGCCAUUCACAACCAGAGAUGUGCUGCCCCGAACACAGAGGAUGUCGAUCCGUCUCUUCUGCUACGAUUCCAAAAUCAAUUCCAUCGCCCUGUAGCGCUCCUUGAUCCUUCGCUGACUUCAGCAGAGCUGCAAGCAGUGGGGCAGUUCAUGAUCAGAUGACUUUCCAUUGACUCUGGGAGGCUUCUGGGUGUCUCUCCCAGCUCCUUAUUUUGUAAGCACUUACUGAAAUGCUGCCUGAAAAAACAAACACGAAGCUUAAAUCACUGGUCCAAGUCCCGGGGGGAUAUUCCCAUUCACUCCAAUGGGCACCGGCCCAGGCUCUCACUGUGCAGAGCAUGGUAACUUCAUUGCAAUAGGCCCUGUGAAGGCUUUGCCAAAUUAAAGUUAAAAUUUUGUAAUUCUUUCAGUUUAAUUGUCCAUUGUAUCUGAUCCUGAGCGACUCCUUCAGACUUCGGAAAUAAUCAGACCACUGGGUGAAAUCCUGGCUUCACCGAGGUCAAUGGCAGAAGCUUCCACGGACUUAAUGAGGCCACAGGCUCUCCCCACGUCUUCUGUGGUGUUAUUUAUGUUGUGGUUCAAUGAGCGGUUGUCUAAUGCAGAUGCGUAAAUGACUCCUAAUGAGAUCAAGAUCCCCACGGUGGUUGGGGUUGGACGAGAAUACGAUCUUGGCUGUCUGUGAUCAAGGACAGCGGGUUUAGGAGGAAGAUACAGAGCGAACAUGAGUGGCCUGUGCACUGCCUGCUGGCAGAAAUUUGGCUCCCGUUGCCCUGUCCCACUGAAACCCUUCCACAUCACUGAUGGAUCCAUAGAUAAUCAAUGGAGACUGAUGGCUAAGGGUUCAGACUGGGGCACGACCGCCAGUGAAAAGGGGUUUGAUUCAAGGCUUUGAAACAGAAAACAAACCUUUCUGAAAAACAAAAUCACCCAUUAAAGUUGAUGAUAAUGUGAAAAAUGUUCAUCUCACCCCCAGAAAUGUACUUUCUUUCCACGUUAAGGAAGUGAAACACAGAACGCGAUAAGGAGCGUUAGAGGACUUCUUCUCUGCCAGAAACCGGUUGGUUGCAAAUGCCUUCAAAUGAAAACAACUCAGAAAUUUCAAAAAUGUUUGCAAAAGGACAUUUUCACUUUUCAACCAACUCUGUUAUUGAUUUUCCAGGCUGAAUGAGGAAUGCUUGUUGAAUUUUAUGGAAACUGAUAGUGGGACUAUAUGAAACUGGCCAUAAAAGAUAACAGAUUUUGUUUUAAAGUCAGAUAAAAGUUAUAGUCCCAUGUUAUUUGGCAUAUGAAUUUCCUAUGAUACCAAUAAAAAUGUUAGUUAUAAAGCAUUUCCUGAGGAAUGGUUGUAACCCCAAAUGAUCAUGGUUAUUUGCUAAGGAAAAUAGGUUUUAUUCUGAACAAUAAACCUAUGCAGAUUUAUUAACCUGGGAAGCACACAGCCAUUCCGUGUACCAAUCCGGUUCGAGCUGAUGGAAUUAAUAACACUGAUAUAAUGAAAAAUAUCUUUUACACUCCAAAACCAUUGCCUGCAUAAUGUCACAUAUAAAAGAGUUUACUUAACAGCCCUUUAGCUCUAUUUUCCCAUUCUUUGCAGAAGUCUUCAUUCACAAUGGAUUGGUUCUAUUUAAAUGGUGAUAUUUGCUGUGUAUCGUGUUACUGCAGCUCUAUUCCCCGCAGAUGAAUGAAAGUUGAGCACGAACUAACAAGAAAAAUACUCCAAAGAUGAGAAUUUGAAGCAACCAAAAAUGCCUUUCGUGCUUUAAAGGUGAUAGCAAGUGAAAGUGAUGGCUGUGCUUCAGCUGGAGUUCACAGCAGAGAUUUCACUCAUAAGUAGCCCACACCCCCUGGAACUGCACAAUAGGAAACAAGUAGGAAGGAUGCUGAAUGGAGAGUUGAGUGGUGCUUGCUUUGCCAACUCCUGAAGCCACUGUCUGCUUCCUCAAGGUUUGGAUCAGGAUGGGGAUGAGCAUUUCGUGCCCCAGUGGUGGAUGUCAGGAUGCAGAGCUUGUGGGUUCCUUUGUAAAGUGUCCUCUGAGACCACAGCCCUGUCGGACAGACUGAUGACACCCAAGUGAAUGUGCCUCCACAUUGUCCCAGCCAGGCAGCUCUGCAGCAGCGGGCAUUCCUGCUGCCAGGGAAAGCAACUGGAGAGCCUUCAGCCUCCCCUCCCCUCAACUUUACAGGCACACCUGGCACAAUGAUGCUUGUAAAUGGGAGGGAGAGAGUUAAUGGUGGAAUUUGGGUUUUGUACAAAUCAGCACAUUCUACUUUUAUAAAUGCACGUAUCUAUAUAUAGAGAGAGGGGUGAACGUUCCAGCGCGACAUCGCAUUUUUAUCAAGAAGAACCCAAGUCUACAGGCUGGAUAUUAAGCCAAACAGCAUGUUUGCAGCACCGAGCAGAUCCCCGCACCCGCAGCGGGAGCCGCCGAGCCCGGAGCAGAGCGGCCCGGAGCACCGCCGGUACCGACUUGGGCCAGAGAGCCGAGCUCAGCGACGGGAAAAGGGGAAGAAUAUAGAAAACAACCAUAA
ensembl:lncRNA